rnacentral:rRNA from 1 species
GACGAACGCUGGCGGCGUGCCUAAUACAUGCAAGUAGAACGCUGAAGGAGGAGCUUGCUUCUCUGGAUGAGUUGCGAACGGGUGAGUAACGCGUAGGUAACCUGCCUGGUAGCGGGGGAUAACUAUUGGAAACGAUAGCUAAUACCGCAUAAGAGUAGAUGUUGCAUGACAUUUGCUUAAAAGGUGCAAUUGUAUCACUACCAGAUGGACCUGCGUUGUAUUAGCUAGUUGGUGGGGUAACGGCUCACCAAGGCGACGAUACAUAGUCGACCUGAGAGGGGGAUCGGCCCACCUGGGACUGAGACCCGGCCCAGACUCCUACGGGGAGCAGCAGGAGGGAAUCGUCGGCAAGGGGCGGAAGUCUGACCGAGCAACGCCGCGGGAGGGAAGAAGGGUUUCGGAUCGGAAAGCUCGGUUGUAAGGGAAGAAAGAGUGUGAGAGUGGAAAGUUCACACUGUGACGGUAUCUUACCAGAAAGGGACGGCUAACUACGUG